rnacentral:rRNA from 1 species
GAUGAACGCUAGCGACAGGCUUAACACAUGCAAGUCGAGGGGCAGCACGGGAGUAGCAAUACAACUGGUGGCGACCGGCGCACGGGUGAGUAACGCGUAUGCAACCUACCUAUCAGAGGGGAAUAACCCGGCGAAAGUCGGACUAAUACCGCAUAAAACAGGGGCACCGCAUGGUGAUAUUUGUUAAAGAAAUUCGCUGAUAGAUGGGCAUGCGUUCCAUUAGGUAGUUGGUGAGGUAACGGCUCACCAAGCCGACGAUGGAUAGGGGAACUGAGAGGUUGGUCCCCCACACUGGUACUGAGACACGGACCAGACUCCUACGGGAGGCAGCAGUGAGGAAUAUUGGUCAAUGGGCGAGAGCCUGAACCAGCCAAGUCGCGUGAAGGAAGAAGGAUCUAUGGUUCGUAAACUUCUUUUGCAGGGGAAUAAAGUGCGGGACGUGUCCUGUUUUGUAUGUACCUUGCGAGAAAGCCACGGCUAACUACGUGCCAGCCGCCGCGGUAACAC